AUCAGGGGUUGGAGGGCAUUCUUCCAGUUGACCUCUGGGUGCCGGGGUGUCCGCCACAUCCGAUUGUGCUAAUCGAUGCCUUGCUU
rnacentral:tRNA from 1 species